AUGGCAAUUUCGGCCAGCCACUUUCCUCCUCACUUUCUUCUCUUGCAAGACUUGCCUCUCAACUACCCCAACAAUUAAAUGGGCAGCCACCCAUCCUAGCCAAUCAAAAAGGAGGCAGCCAACCCCCUCUCCCUCUAUAAAUGGCCCUUGGCCGGCCACCUCCACUCCUCUUGCUCUCAUUUUUCUUCUCUCCACUGACUCCUCCACCUUAUCUACUCCCUCACACUCUUCUCCUACUCUCCCCCACGAAAAUGCAGCUCCACCUAGCUCCCAUGGCCGGCCAUGGCCAUGGAAAGAACUCCAAGAUGAAGCUCCCUCCUCCCUCAAGCUCCUCCUCACCAUGAGAGCCUCCCUCUCCUUCUUCUCCCCAACCCUAGAUGGUUUUCUCUCCUCUUCCUCUUCCUCCAUUGCUAAGAUUGGAUCUUGAUGCAGGUGCAUGUUGGUCCAAGCAUGGAGAAGUUUGAGCUAUCCUCAGAUCUGAAGUUCUUGAGCAAAAUCCAAAUCGGGUGAUUCAAAGUUCCGCAGAUAGAUACGGAAAAGAUCUACAACUUGGCGUUGGUCUCAUCCUCAAAUUCUUUACGUAUUUUGCAUGGUAAAUAAAGUUCUGCAAACAUGCAGAAUCACUGUUUGUUAGAUUUCUCCCGUUUUACAAAACCUUUUUGAGCAAACUCAACUGUAGGUGAAAGCACUCUUCAGUACCUUCAUUUUGGCGUUAGUUUCACUUCGAUUGACCUCCUAGAACUGAAAUGGUUCACAGAUCAAGAUCUGGUCAGAUCUGAAUUUGUCGAAUUAAACCAGAAGCUUGGAAACGAGUUUUUGGAUGAAACCAGUUGGGGGAUAUUUGGUUUAUACCAUGGUGAUAACCGAGAGAGGCAAUUGCUAAGUUGUGAUGCACUCAAACCUUUACUAGAUGCGAACAAUUCUGGAGAGGAAGAAGAAGUGGAAUCGGACGAGGAUUUUAUUUAUAUAUGUUGUUGGAAUUCUUAUAUUGAUGGAGUCGAAGAAGUACAGGGACAAAUAAGCCAAGGCAAGCCAUCUCUUGAUCUCUGAAUAUUGAAUCACAUAUGGUGGUUACUUUGUUAUUAUUAAUAUCUCUCGAUCUAUCUUGUGUGAUUUCUACUUUGGUUGUCGGAGCAUGCUUACCGUGAGCAUGUUUACUCUCUUUGGCACCUCGCCGACAAACCCCUUUUUGUAAAUGGUGGUUGUCAACACCAUGAUCUUGGUGUACCCUCUAAAUGUGAUGGGUAUGCCCACUUGUCCUGUGUGUGUCGACCUCUUGACACCCUUUUUGCACCCCAUAGUGGUAUGGUGGUUAGCAUCAUGCCCUUGUCGUAUCUUAAACCCCUUGUUGAUUCCAUGCAUACUUACUCCCAAGUUUGUGAACCCCUUGUUGCUGUUAUACAUACUUACUCUCGAGUGUGUUGAACCCCUUGUUGAUCUUAUGCAUGCUUACUCUAAGCAUGUAUGCCCCCUUGACCACCUAUAUUAUCAUCUUCUUAGUGGUAUGAUGAUUAACAUCAUGACCCUUGUUGAAUCAUGCUAUUUAUGAUGUCCCUAUGCAUGCUUAUCCUAAGUAUGUAUGAUCCCCUUGACACCUCAAUUAUCAUCUCCUUAGUGGUAUGAUGGCUAGCAUCACGCCAUUGUUGUCUCUUAGUUCACACAUAAACUUUAGGUUGGGAAAACCCUCAAGGUUUUACCUUGUUGUAAAAGUUUUGUUAAAACCUUGGGUAUAAUGUUAUGCCCAAGUGAGAAUUUAUGAAAGGAAAGGAUUUGGUAAAAUGAUGGGGAUGAGAAAGUGGUUGGGAUAUUAUGAAAACUUUGGCGCCUAAGUACUCACCCAUGACAAUUAACUAGCGCAACCACAUUACUCCAACAUGGGCACGGGGCUUAGCUCGACGUUCGUUCUCUUUAGCAUGAGGCACCGCAUAACUAUACAAGGGUACGGUUACCCCCGAGUCCGGAUUGUCGAGGUUGGGACAAUAGUAUAACGGGAGGCCUUCGGGGCUGACCCGUCCGGAAGACACUAUGGGUCUCCUGGCUUGGCGGUGGAGCCACGCUCAAAUGGAGGUGAGCUGCCACGGUGCCGGGGAGGUACAUACUCCAUAGGGUAGGACCUCUUGCUAAUUAGAAUGGGCGAAAGGCUUCGACUGGUUAUCCGAUACCCACAUACUUUCGUAUGAUGGCCCGGGGAUGAUCCCGGCGGAUUUAUCAGAUCU